UACGAAGGGGGCUAGCGUUGUUCGGAAUUACUGGGCGUAAAGCGUAUGCAGGCGGACUUUUAAGUCAGACGUGAAAUCCCUCGGCUUAACCGGGGAACUGCGUCUGAUACUGGAUGGCUUGAGUUCGGGAGAGGGAUGCGGAAUUCCAGGUGUAGCGGUGAAAUGCGUAGAUAUCUGGAGGAACACCGGUGGCGAAGGCGGCAUCCUGGACCGACACUGACACUGAGGAGCGAAAGCCAGGGGAGCAAACGGG
rnacentral:rRNA from 1 species